rnacentral:tRNA from 1 species
AGGGAAAUAACUCAGUUGGUUAGAGUGCCGUUCUUAUACAGCGGUCGUAAGUUCGAAUCUUACUUUCCCUACCA